rnacentral:misc_RNA from 1 species
GCCGACCGACGCCAUCUUUCUGUCAAUGGAGUCAUAGUCGUGUGCUUGCAGGGCGCCAUUUUAUUAAAGUAAUAAUUGCGGUUAUCUGCAGUGAAAGCUAUUUUGUUUUUCAUAAGUGAACGUUAAAUAAGACCAAAAUGAGUUACGGAAGACCUCCGCCGCGUAUUGACGGCAUGGUGUCGUUGAAAGUGGACAAUCUCACAUACCGUACUACACCUGAGGAUUUGCGCCGCGUUUUCGAAAGGUGUGGAGAAGUAGGCGAUAUUUAUAUUCCCCGUGAUCGUUACACAAGGGAAAGCAGAGGAUUCGCCUUUGUCAGGUUUUACGACCGACGCGAUGCAGAAGAGGCGCUGGACUCGCUCGAUGGGCGCAUGUUGGACGGGAGGGAGCUUCGAGUGCAGAUGGCCCGCUACGGCAGGCCUUCGUCACCCUACAGAAGCCGGUACGACCGCAGACGCAGUGGUUCUCGCUCUGGGUCGCGCUCACGCCGCCGCUCGCGCUCUCGCUCCCGUUCCCGCAAGCGCUCGUACACGCGCAGCCGUUCUCGCUCGCGUAGCCGCAGCCGCUCGGACUCCAAGAGCUCGCGCGGCCGUUCCCGCAGCCGCUCCCAUUCCAGGUCGCGCUCCAGGCAUUGAAGUGCUGAGUUGAGAGUACCGGUUUAGAGCUGAAGCUGUGCCAGCUAUCUCGUGCACUCUUCGGCCAAGGCGUCGGGCGGAGCGGGGGCGCGGACGCGGGGUGCGGUGGGGCGCGGGGGGUUGCGGAGCGGACAACUGCUGUUUUGCUGUUGUUGCUGUUCAUAAAGUUAUGAGUAAACUUUUAUAUUAUUGACCAACCAGACUUGUCUAACGUAGGUACUCGAAACCCUAUCAUUAUUAGUAAUUUUGUAAACGGCACCCUUUAUCCCGAUAAAUUUAAAAACAUACUUUAUUAAUAAGAAACUAGUGAUGACAGAUGCUGCUGGUGUUCGCGGACUAACGUUUGCGUUUGUUUGGCAGGCCGCGAGCAGGUGCCGCUGGCCUGCUGACGUGGCAGUUUCCCGCUGAUUGCUGUGUUUGCAGACUUUCCAGAUGCGUCUAGGUUUCAUAUACAGGACUACGCCCCCCGCCGAUGCGAGUUAGCUUUGUACACCCGAUAUUUUUCUUUCGAGAUUUUAUUUAGAGUUAGAUUCAAGAUUUUUUUGAAGUUGCAAGAGAGAAGACAUCGACAGGACACCUGGGAUUUGGAUACUGUAUGUAGGUUAAAAUGUCGUAAAUAAAUAGAGUUAACACGA